rnacentral:rRNA from 1 species
UGGGGAAUAUUGCACAAUGGGCGAAAGCCUGAUGCAGCGACGCCGCGUGAACGAAGAAGUAUUUCGGUAUGUAAAGUUCUAUCAGCAGGGAAGAAGAAAUGACGGUACCUGACUAAGAAGCUCCGGCUAAAUACGUGCCAGCAGCCGCGGUAAUACGUAUGGAGCAAGCGUUAUCCGGAUUUACUGGGUGUAAAGGGAGCGUAGGCGGUCUUAUAAGUCUGAUGUGAAAGCCCGGGGCUCAACCCCGGGACUGCAUUGGAAACUGUAGGACUAGAGUGUCGGAGGGUAAGUGGAAUUCCUAGUGUAGCGGUGAAAUGCGUAGAUAUUAGGAGGAACACCAGUGGCGAAGGCAGCCUGCUGUAGCGCAACUGACGCUGAAGCUCGAAAGCGUGGGUAUCGAACAGGAUUAGAUACCCUGGUA